AAACCACGUUCAGGCCACUCCAAAAAGCCCAACACAUCGUGGACGCUGUAUAUUUUGUGUCACUAUAAAGUUUCUCACUCACUCUAAAAAUUAAUAAAAAUGUUCUAAAUCCAUGAACAUCUGACUAAUUUAAAUAUAAAACACACAAAAUAAAUGUCUACAUUUUUCAGGAAUUAGAGUUUUACCACCAGAGAUUUUCUGGCCCCUGCUACCAACACACUGCACAAUCUCAAAAUUUUACCCAGUAUAUUUGUGUAGUUUCUCUUCAGAAUAUCUAAUGACACUUUUAGUAUAUAAACACAUAAUGACCUAACAAGU